rnacentral:rRNA from 1 species
UACGGGGGGGGCUAGCGUUGUUCGGAAUUACUGGGCGUAAAGGGCGCGUAGGCGGUCUGCUAAGUUGGAUGUGAAAACUCUGGGCUUAACCCAGAGCCUGCAUUCAAUACUGACAGGCUAGAGUUCUGGAGGGGAUAGCGGAAUUCCUGGUGUAGCGGUGAAAUGCGUAGAUAUCAGGAGGAACACCUGCGGCGAAGGCGGGUUGCUGGGCUGAUACUGACGCUGAGGCGCGAAAGCCAGGGGAGCGAACGGG